AAUAAGAUGCCUGAUUAAAGGAUUAUUUUGAUAGAAUAAAAAAUGUAUUAUAUACUCUUAUUA
rnacentral:tRNA from 1 species